GGGGUGUGCUGGAUUUGACAAUUAAAAAAAUUUCUUAGAUGCAGUGGUUUGGUAGACCAUAAUACUAAAAAAAUUGAAACGCAAAAAAUACAACUAAAUCUUCAGACGAAGCAAAUAUUAAUUACUCACUUUUAAUAAAUAACCAAUUAAAUUUUGCAUACGUUUAAUUUAUAAAAACCUAAUAAUUUCAUUUUGCUAAAUUAAAUUAUUUUUUUAAGCAAUUUGAAAAAAGCUGUGCUAAUAAAAUCUAUUUUAGUUUUAAUAAUCACACUAACUAGAUUAAAAAAUAUUAAUUAAAUCACUGUUUUUAUUUUUAUUCUUAGUUUUUGUUUUUUAAAAUAAUAUGAUUCCGUGAAUCUAAACUGUAGACUCUAUUAAAUCUUUUUAUUUGGAUCGGGGUUCGAUUCCCCGCACCUCCACCA
rnacentral:tmRNA from 1 species